GUGUUGUAUACAAGGAGAGAAAGUUAGCAUACCUCUUGACAAGGAUGAAAGAGGCCCUCAGGCCUGACAACACACGUACAGUUAAGGCAUUGCCGCCUACUUUGUGGCGUCUGACCAUUCUUA
ensembl:snRNA